GUCUAUGGCCAUGCCACCCUGAACAAGCCCGCUCCCGUCUGAUCUCGGAAGCUAAGCAGGGUUGGGCCUGGUUAGUACUUGGAUGGGAGACCACCUAGGAAGACCAGGUGCUGUAGGCG
rnacentral:rRNA from 1 species